rnacentral:lncRNA from 1 species
GUAGUAUCCAAAGCCCAAUAUUGCAAAUUUAUCAUCUUUGGGAGGCCUCACAUGUUACUGUACAUAGUAACAGGAAAUAGAUCGGUUGAAUGUAAGCAGAAAUGCAAUACACACAAAAAAACCCAACCAAAUAAACCCACCAAGAGACCACUUCAAUAAAUUAAAAAAUAAGAGAACCAAAACCAUCCUAGUGGUUUAAUGUCCACAUCAAUAAAAUUACUUAUGUCUCUUAAAUACAGUUUCUAGUAAAACCUUGGUGAGUAGUUACAGAUAGAAUGUGUUAUUAAUGCAAUCAGAUGGACAGCAGAUCUGAAUUUUAGUCCACAGAACUGCAGAAUAGUUGGGGCUGGUACGGAUUUCUGGAGAUGCUCCAGCCCAGGCCGUGCCCAGCUGGGGCUGCCAUGGCUCCACACAGGGACACUCCAGGCCCUCCCUGGGCAGCUGUUCCAGGCCUCUGCCCCUCCAUGGACACAAGUUCUUCCUCCUGCCGGGCUGCCGCUCGCUGCCCUUUAUUUUAUUCUCGGCAGCGCCCGGCAGAGCCCGGCCCCAUCCUCUGGCAGCCCUCGGAGAUGUUUGUGUGGAUCCACGGGAUCCCCUCCGGGCCUUCCCUUCUCCGGCCUGGCCGGGCCCGGCUCCCGCAGCCUCUGGAGCUGCUGCAGAGCCCAAAUGCUGUGUGCGGCCUCCCCUGGGCCCUGGGCGGCAGCUCCUGGGCUCUGCUGGCCUUUAUUUUAUUAUCGGCAGCGCUCCAGCGUUGGACUAGAUCCUGAAGUAUUUUCAGAGCUUGCUUCAGGAUCCUGACCCCAAGGCAUCUUACCAUCACAUCUGAGAAAUUCUCAUUUCUUGUUUUGCAUGGUCAUACUGCUCUCUGGAAAAAAGGUACCUCCUUCCUUCUUGCUGUUUAUAUUAAAAAACAACAAACAAGAAUAUAAGAUAAUUAGAUAAUUUUUAGGAGUGGUUUUGAUGAGGGAAGUCAUGAUUAGUAUAAUCUCUAAUGUUAACAACUAUUGAGCGUGUGAAAGAUUUUAGCAGAAGGGAGCUGAGUGCCUUGAGAGGUUUUCCUAGCAGGGAGUUCACACCAUUAGAUUUAAUUCAUCCUAUGGAUGUGUGAAUUACAUUUAUUUUUUUCCCUGCUAGUUGGAUAAUAAGGCAAUAAAGCAUUCUGAUGUGUUAAUGUGUCA